rnacentral:rRNA from 1 species
UGGGGAAUUUUGCACAAUGGGGGAAACCCUGAUGCAGCGACGCCGCGUGAUUUAGAAGGCCUUCGGGUUGUAAAAAUCUUUUCUAUGGGAAGAAAAUGACAGUACCAUAGGAAUAAGGACCGGCUAAUUACGUGCCAGCAGCCGCGGUAAUACGUAAGGUCCGAGCGUUGUCCGGAAUCAUUGGGCGUAAAGGGUACGUAGGCGGGUAAGCAAGUUAGAAGUGAAAUCCUAUAGCUCAACUAUAGAAAGCUUUUAAAACUGCUCAUCUUGGGGUAUGGAAGGGAAAGUGGAAUUCCUAGUGUAGCGGUGAAAUGCGCAGAGAUUAGGAGGAAUACCGGUGGCGAAGGCGACUUUCUGGCCAUAACCUGACGCUGAGGUACGAAAGCGUGGGUAGCAAACAGG